GACGAACGCUGGCGGCGUGCUUAACACAUGCAAGUCGAACGGAAAGGCCCUGCUUUUGUGGGGUGCUCGAGUGGCGAACGGGUGAGUAACACGUGAGUAACCUGCCCUUGACUUUGGGAUAACUUCAGGAAACUGGGGCUAAUACCGGAUAGGAGCUCCUGCUGCAGGGUGGGGGUGGGAAAGUUUCGGCGGUUGGGGAUGGACUCGCGGCUUAUCAGCUUGUUGGUGGGGUAGUGGCUUACCAAGGCUUUGACGGGUAGCCGGCCUGGGAGGGUGACCGGCCACAUUGGGACUGAGAUACGGCCCAGACUCCUACGGGAGGCAGCAGUGGGAGAUAUUGCACAAUGGGCGGGAGCCUGAUGCAGCAACGCCGCGUGCGGGAUGACGGCCUUCGGGUUGUAAACCGCUUUCGCCUGUGACGAAGCGUGAGUGACGGUAAUGGGUAAAGAAGCACCGGCUAACUACGUG
rnacentral:rRNA from 1 species